rnacentral:rRNA from 1 species
UACAGAGGGUGCAAGCGUUGUUCGGAAUUAUUGGGCGUAAAGAGCGCGUAGGCGGUCUACUAAGUCUGGUGUGAAAGCCCUCGGCUUAACCGAGGAAGUGCAUUGGAUACUGGUAGGCUUGAGUGUGAGAGAGGAGAGUGGAAUUCCUGGUGUAGCGGUGAAAUGCGUAGAUAUCAGGAGGAACACCGGUGGCGAAGGCGGCUCUCUGGAUCAUAACUGACGCUGAGGCGCGAAAGCGUGGGUAGCAAACAGG